rnacentral:rRNA from 1 species
UACGUAGGGUGCAGGCGUUUAAUCGGAAUUACUGGGCGUAAAGCGUGCGCAGGCGGUUUGCUAAGACAGGUGUGAAAUCCCCCGGGCUUAACCUGGGAACUGCGCUUGUAACUGGCAAGCUAGAGUGUGGCAGAGGGGGGGUGGAAUUCCACGUGUAGCAGUGAAAUGCGUAGAGAUGUGGAGGAACACCGAUGGCGAAGGCAGCCCCCCUGGGCUAACACUGACGCUCAUGCACGAAAGCGUGGG